AACGAACGCUGGCGGCAUGCCUAACACAUGCAAGUCGAACGAGACCUUCGGGUCUAGUGGCGCACGGGUGCGUAACGCGUGGGAACCUGCCCUUAGGUUCGGAAUAACUCCCCGAAAGGGGUGCUAAUACCGGAUAAUGUCUUCGGACCAAAGAUUUAUCGCCUUUGGAUGGGCCCGCGUUGGAUUAGCUAGUUGGUAGGGUAAAAGCCUACCAAGGCGACGAUCCAUAGCUGGUCUGAGAGGAUGAUCAGCCACACUGGGGCUGAGACACGGCCCGGACUCCUACGGGAGGCGGCAGUGGGGAAUAUUGGCCAAUGGGCGAAAGCCUGAUCCAGCAAUGCCGCGUGAGUGAUGAAGGCCUUAGGGUUGUAAAGCUCUUUUACCCGGGAUGAUAAUGACAGUACCGGGAGAAUAAGCUCCGGCUAACUCCGUG
rnacentral:rRNA from 1 species